AUUGAACGCUGGCGGCAUGCCUUACACAUGCAAGUCGAACGGCAGCAUGGAGAGCUUGCUCUCUGAUGGCGAGUGGCGAACGGGUGAGUAAAGCAUCGGAACGUACCGUGUAGUGGGGGAUAACGUAGCGAAAGUUACGCUAAUACCGCAUACGCACUGAGGUGGAAAGCAGGGGAUCGUAAGACCUUGCGCUAUACGAGCGGCCGAUGUCAGAUUAGCUAGUUGGUAGGGUAAAGGCCUACCAAGGCGACGAUCUGUAGCGGGUCUGAGAGGAUGAUCCGCCACACUGGGACUGAGACACGGCCCAGACUCCUACGGGAGGCAGCAGUGGGGAAUUUUGGACAAUGGGGGCAACCCUGAUCCAGCCAUGCCGCGUGAGUGAAGAAGGCCUUCGGGUUGUAAAGCUCUUUCGGCCGGGAAGAAAUCGCACAGGCUAAUACCCUGUGUGGAUGACGGUACCGGCAGAAGAAGCACCGGCUAACUACGUG
rnacentral:rRNA from 1 species